GGAGUUAGCCGGUGCUUCUUCUGCGAGUAACGUCACAGAUGUAAGGUAUUAACUUACACCCUUUCCUCCUCGCUGAAAGUGCUUUACAACCCGAAGGCCUUCUUCACACACGCGGCAUGGCUGCAUCAGGGUUUCCCCCAUUGUGCAAUAUUCCCCACUGCUGCCUCCCGUAGGAGUCUGGGCCGUGUCUCAGUCCCAGUGUGGCUGAUCAUCCUCUCAGACCAGCUAGGGAUCGUCGCCUAGGUGAGCCUUUACCUCACCUACUAGCUAAUCCCACCUGGGCUUAUCCAUCAGCGCAAGGCCCGAAGGUCCCCUGCUUUCCCCCGUAGGGCGUAUGCGGUAUUAGCAGUCGUUUCCAACUGUUAUCCCCACAAAUGGGCAAAUUCCCAGGCAUUACUCACCCGUCCGCCGCUCGUCAUCUUCAAAAGCAAGCUUUUGAAAUGUUACCGCUCGACUUGCAUGUGUUAGGCCUGCCGCCAGCGUUCAAUCUGAGCCAUGAUCAAAACUCUGA
rnacentral:rRNA from 1 species